rnacentral:rRNA from 1 species
AUUGAACGCUGGCGGCAGGCCUAACACAUGCAAGUCGAGCGAGCGGCGGACGGGUGAGUAAUGUCUGGGAAACCGCCUGAUGGAGGGGGAUAACUACUGGAAACGGUAGCUAAUACCGCAUACCAUCAGCUUUGCCCAUAUGGGAUUAGCUAGUAGGGGGGGUAACGGCUCACCAAGGCGCCGAUCCCUAGCUGGUCUGAGAGGAUGACCAGCCACACGGGGACUGAGACACGGUCCAGACUCCUACGGGAGGCAGCAGUGGGGAAUAUUGCACAAGGGGGGCAAGUCUGAUGCAGCCAUGCCGCGUGUGUGAAGAAGGCCUUCGGGUUGUAAAGCACUUUCAUCGGGGAGGCGUUACCCGCAGAAGAAGCACCGGCUAACUCCGUGCCAGCCGCCGCGGUAAUUC